GUUCCGCCUCCGCCGGGAGCGCUUCCGCGCCGGCGCAGUGUGGGCCCGAGGCGCCGGGCUGCGCGGCGCCCCCUGCUGGGGACCUCGGGUUCGGCCCGCGGGCCUUGGGUCCCCGAGCCGCGCGCGCUCUGACCCGCUGGGCCGCAGUUCUGGGUCUCCUGCUCCGUGCGCCCGACACCCAGCCGCCAGGGCUCCGAGGUCAGGGCGGCCGCCGGACCUGAUCUUCCCGCAGGCCCUGCCGCCGCGCCGGCAGGUCACGCUCAGCCCAGCGCGGCUCAGCUCCAAGCGGCCCUCUGAAUUCCUGCGACACCUCCCCGCCUCCACAGCCUGCACCCCCUCCCCAGCUUACAGCACCCCUCGGGCACCCCCCUUCCCCGGCAUGCACUUCCCCUGGUGCAGCCCUCUCCCCCAUGGUGCACCUCCCUCCUCCGAGUGCAUCCGGGUGCUCCCCCCUUCCGCGGCGUGCACCACCCCCUCGGUGUGUUUCCCCCCUCCCCUGGCAUGUGCAUCUCGUUCUUCCGCAUGCACCUCAGGCAAGCACCCUACCCUGGGCGCGCACCUAGUUCCGAUGUGCUCAGAACUGUUUUGGAGCCUGGAAGCUGGGAGUGGGAAUGGGGGGCUCAGAAAAAGAGAGCUCUCAAGCCCAGAGUGGUCACUUCAUGCCACCAGCGCGCUUAGUGAUUUGCGACCUACUUGCCCAAGCCCCUUCAGCAGAACUUCCUGGGUGGCGUCAGAAUCGAAAAGAAAUGCAAACCUCCAGUAGAAAAGGAUUUCAAGAUAGUAAAGAGAAGGCAGAAACUAACAAGUGUGUGGCCUAACUUGUCAGAGAUGGACAAGGCUCGCCUUGCUGAACCUCCACCCUGAAACCCAAAGGAAAAGAACGCGCUCAUGUCUGCGCGCGGCGUCUCGGCUUUGGAAGUGCUUCCUCUCCAUCUCCGUUGGCCGCAGGGCACAUGGCGCACGUAAGGUGCUGAGACAGGGCAGGCCUGGACUCGGGUCCCCGCUGCCUCCAUGAGGAAGGAGCAGACUCUCCGCCCGUAGCACAUCUUGCAGGAAGCCAGAGGGAGGGUGCCGACUGCGAGGACCUCUCCAAACCAGUCUACGGGAGGGACCCAGCGCUGACCUCCCGCGGACCUCUCCCCCUCGUCCCAGCGCUGACAUUCCCCUUGGGGUGGACACCGAACGUGCUCGUUAGACACGCGAUGCGUUUAGACGUGUGACCUUUAAGUGCAUCAGUGCUAAUAAAUCCCCACCUGUGUGUGUUCAGGCCGCACCCCUUUCCCCACCUGAGCUUUUUGUUUUUUACUAUUUAUUUUUGAGAGGGAGGAAGGAGGGACAGAGAGAGCAGGAUAUAGGAUCCC